AUUGAACGCUGGCGGCAGGCCUAACACAUGCAAGUCGAGCGGAUGAGUGGAGCUUGCUCCAUGAUUCAGCGGCGGACGGGUGAGUAAUGCCUAGGAAUCUGCCUAUUAGUGGGGGACAACGUUUCGAAAGGAACGCUAAUACCGCAUACGUCCUACGGGAGAAAGCAGGGGACCUUCGGGCCUUGCGCUAAUAGAUGAGCCUAGGUCGGAUUAGCUAGUUGGUGAGGUAAUGGCUCACCAAGGCGACGAUCCGUAACUGGUCUGAGAGGAUGAUCAGUCACACUGGAACUGAGACACGGUCCAG
rnacentral:rRNA from 1 species